rnacentral:rRNA from 1 species
UGGGGAAUAUUGGACAAUGGGCGAAAGCCUGAUCCAGCCAUGCCGCGUGUGUGAAGAAGGUCUUCGGAUUGUAAAGCACUUUAAGUUGGGAGGAAGGGCAGUAAGCGAAUACCUUGCUGUUUUGACGUUACCGACAGAAUAAGCACCGGCUAACUCUGUGCCAGCAGCCGCGGUAAUACAGAGGGUGCAAGCGUUAAUCGGAAUUACUGGGCGUAAAGCGCGCGUAGGUGGUUCGUUAAGUUGAAUGUGAAAGCCCCGGGCUCAACCUGGGAACUGCAUCCAAAACUGGCGAGCUAGAGUAGGGCAGAGGGUGGUGGAAUUUCCUGUGUAGCGGUGAAAUGCGUAGAUAUAGGAAGGAACACCAGUGGCGAAGGCGACCACCUGGGCUCAUACUGACACUAAGGUGCGAAAGCGUGGAGAGCAAACAGG